GUGCUAGCUUCAGCAGCACAUAUACUAAAAUUGGAACAAUACAGAGAUGAUUGGCAUGGCCCCUGCGCAAGGGUGACACGCAAAUUCAUGAAGCGUUCCAUAUUUUU
rnacentral:snRNA from 1 species